GGGCCCGUAGUCUAGUCAGGAUAAGACGUGGGACUUCGGAUCCCAAGAUCGGGGGUUCAAAUCCCCCCGGGUCCG
rnacentral:tRNA from 1 species